UCCGGUGCUUGCGCCGGGGAUUAGUGGCGAACGGGUGAGUAACACGUGAGUAACCUGCCCUUGACUCUGGGAUAAGCCUGGGAAACUGGGUCUAAUACCGGAUAUGACUCCUCAUCGCAUGGUGGGGGGUGGAAAGCUUUUUGUGGUUUUGGAUGGACUCGCGGCCUAUCAGCUUGUUGGUGGGGUAAUGGCCUACCAAGGCGACGACGGGUAGCCGGCCUGAGAGGGUGACCGGCCACACUGGGACUGAGACACGGCCCAGACUCCUACGGGAGGCAGCAGUGGGGAAUAUUGCACAAUGGGCGAAAGCCUGAUGCAGCGACGCCGCGUGAGGGAUGACGGCCUUCGGGUUGUAAACCUCUUUCAGUAGGGAAGAAGCCCUCUUUGGGGGUGACGGUACUUGCAGAAGAAGCGCCGGCUAACUACGUGCCAGCAGCCGCGGUAAUACGUAGGGCGCAAGCGUUAUCCGGAAUUAUUGGGCGUAAAGAGCUCGUAGGCGGUUUGUCGCGUCUGCUGUGAAAGACCGGGGCUCAACUCCGGUUCUGCAGUGGGUACGGGCAGACUAGAGUGCAGUAGGGGAGACUGGAAUUCCUGGUGUAGCGGUGAAAUGCGCAGAUAUC
rnacentral:rRNA from 1 species